UACGUAGGGGGCAAGCGUUGUCCGGAAUCAUUGGGCGUAAAGAGCGUGUAGGCGGCCCGAUAAGUCCGCUGUGAAAGUCCAGGGCUCAACCCUGGAAUGCCGGUGGAUACUGUCGGGCUCGAAUCCGGAAGAGGUGAGUGGAAUUCCUGGUGUAGCGGUGAAAUGCGCAGAUAUCAGGAGGAACACCGGUGGCGAAGGCGGGUCUCUGGGCCGAUACUGACGCUGGAGGAGCGAAAGCGUCGGGGAGCGAACAGG
rnacentral:rRNA from 1 species